rnacentral:snoRNA from 1 species
AUGUUAAGCAUGAUGUUGGAUUUUCAUGUGUGAGAUGUGCCUCCUUCAAACUCUGUUACCAUGUCUGCACAUUACCUGUCUGACA